GAUGAACGCUGGCGGCGUGCCUAAUACAUGCAAGUCGAGCGAACGGACGAGAAGCUUGCUUCUCUGAUGUUAGCGGCGGACGGGUGAGUAACACGUGGAUAACCUACCUAUAAGACUGGGAUAACUUCGGGAAACCGGAGCUAAUACCGGAUAAUAUUUUGAACCGCAUGGUUCAAAAGUGAAAGACGGUCUUGCUGUCACUUAUAGAUGGAUCCGCGCUGCAUUAGCUAGUUGGUAAGGUAACGGCUUACCAAGGCAACGAUGCAUAGCCGACCUGAGAGGGUGAUCGGCCACACUGUAACUGAGACACGGUCCAGACUCCUACGGGAGGCAGCAGUAGGGAAUCUUCCGCGAUGGGCGAAAGCCUGACGGAGCAACGCCGCGUGAGUGAUGAAGGUCUUCGGAUCGUAAAACUCUGUUAUUAGGGAAGAACAUAUGUGUAAGUAACUGUGCACAUCUUGACGGUACCUAAUCAGAAAGCCACGGCUAACUACGUG
rnacentral:rRNA from 1 species